rnacentral:rRNA from 1 species
UGAUSCAGCAACGCCGCGUGAGGGAUGACGGCCUUCGGGUUGUAAACCUCUUUUAGCAGGGAAGAAGCGAAAGUGACGGUACCUGCAGAAAAAGCGCCGGCUAACUACGUGCCAGCAGCCGCGGUAAUACGUAGGGCGCAAGCGUUAUCCGGAAUUAUUGGGCGUAAAGAGCUCGUAGGCGGUUUGUCGCGUCUGCUGUGAAAUCCCGAGGCUCAACCUCGGGCCUGCAGUGGGUACGGGCAGACUAGAGUGCGGUAGGGGAGAUUGGAAUUCCUGGUGUAGCGGUGGAAUGCGCAGAUAUCAGGAGGAACACCGAUGGCGAAGGCAGAUCUCUGGGCCGUAACUGACGCUGAGGAGCGAAAGGGUGGGGAGCAAACAGGCUUAGAUACCCUGGUAGUCCACCCCGUAAACGUUGGGAACUAGUUGUGGGGACCAUUCCACGGUUUCCGUGACGCAGCUAACGCAUUAAGUUCCCCGCCUGGGGAGUACGGCCGCAAGGCUAAAACUCAAAGGAAUUGACGGGGACCCGCACAAGCGGCGGAGCAUGCGGAUUAAUUCGAUGCAACGCGAAGAACCUUACCAAGGCUUGACAUAUACGAGAACGGGCCAGAAAUGGUCAACUCUUUGGACACUCGUAAACAGGUGGUGCAUGGUUGUCGUCAGCUCGUGUCGUGAGAUGUUGGGUUAAGUCCCGCAACGAGCGCAACCCUCGUUCUAUGUUGCCAGCACGUAAUGGUGGGAACUCAUGGGAUACUGCCGGGGUCAACUCGGAGGAAGGUGGGGAUGACGUCAAAUCAUCAUGCCCCUUAUGUCUUGGGCUUCACGCAUGCUACAAUGGCCGGUACAAAGGGCUGCAAUACCGUGAGGUGGAGCGAAUCCCAAAAAGCCGGUCCCAGUUCGGAUUGAGGUCUGCAACUCGACCUCAUGAAGUCGGAGUCGCUAGUAAUCGCAGAUCAGCAACGCUGCGGUGAAUACGUUCCCGGGUCUUGUACACACCGCCCGUCAAGUCAUGAAAGUCGGUAACACCUGAAGCCGG